UUGUUGCCUCACUAACAGCAGUAGUAGAGGUUAGCGACAGCAACAACUCCGCCUUUCAUGGCCGUCCAUCACCUCCAAGGUUUUGAGCAUAUCGGGAAAGGGAGAGUCAGGAAGCAGUGGAUCUAACACAAUAUUUGGACAAAUGGUACAAAGAAAAUCCCAACAUAUCCCCACCACCACCUCCACCAACCUUCUUUGGAGUCAACGCCAUCAAAGCAGCCAUUUACAACCAUCCAACCAUCGGCGCUGCCAAGGAUCUGAAGCCCAUCACAUAGUGAAGAAAUGAGAAAUAAAGUCAGAUUUGUUGGUCAUUUUGGUGGAGUGAGGGUAAUUGGUGGGAUUGGCUUGGAUCUCCAGUGGUGGUGUAGAUCGGGCGAUUGUGGCUGCCGUGACAGGUGACGUUCAAGGCGGAGAUGGCUGGCACCGGCCAAGGUUGGUGGUGGUUGUGUGUUUGGUUUCUUAAUUUAGUUUGGGUAAUUAAUUAAGAAAAGGCAUAAUGAGAGAAUUUAAUUAAAUAAGAAGAUAAGUGGCAAAUUCUUAUCA